UACGAAGGAUCCAAGCGUUAUCCGGAUUCAUUGGGUUUAAAGGGUGCGUAGGCGGCUCAGUAAGUCAGUGGUGAAAUCUCCCGGCUCAACCGGGAAACUGCCAUUGAUACUGCCGAGCUAGAGUACAGAUGAUGUUGGCGGAAUGUGUCAUGUAGCGGUGAAAUGCAUAGAUAUGACACAGAACACCGAUUGCGAAGGCAGCUGACAAAACUGUAACUGACGCUGAUGCACGAAAGUGCGGGGAUCAAACAGG
rnacentral:rRNA from 1 species